rnacentral:rRNA from 1 species
CCCUUAGAUGUUCUGGGCCGCACGCGCGCUACACUGAACAUAUCAGCUUGUUUUUCCCUUCCUGAGAAGGACGGGUAAACCCCUGAGCCAUGUUCAUGGUAGGGAUUGGGGCUUGCAAUUAUUCCCCACGAACCAGGAAUUCCCAGUAGGCGCGAGUCAUCAGCUCGCGUUGACUACGUCCCUGCCCUUUGUACACACCGCCCGUCGCUCCUACCGAUUGAAUGGUCCGGUGAAGUGUUCGGAUCGCGCCGACGUGGGCGGUUCGCCGCCGGCGACGUCGCGAGAAGUCCACUGAACCUUAUCAUUUAGAGGAAGGAGAAGUCGUAACA